rnacentral:tRNA from 1 species
GGCGGUGUAGCUCAGUCGGUUAGAGCACAGGCUUCAUAAGCCUGGUGUCCCCAGUUCGAGUCUGGGCACCGCUAUCA